CAGGAAUGCAGAUCUCACUCUAACUUGCUUUUGGGAGGAACUUUGUCAGCAGUCACAACUCGCAGACUCCUUAGAGACAAAUGUGAGGCCCAAGAUGCCAGAGGUCUGAGCUGAAGGCACUGCCCAUACACAGAUGCUGCCAAAAGAGUGUGGCCAGAGGCCCCAGGCUGCCAGGGAACGGUCUGAAGUCACAAUAGCAGAACUAGAAGGUGGGGGUGUCGUGGACUCUCAGGAACCCCUGCGUUCUUCUCAUCCCCAAUGGGCACCAUCCCCUCCGCAGCACACAGAUUGUCAGGGAAGGCAGAGGGAGGGCUUCCACCUGGAGGAAGCUGGACAAGUUCUACAGGGUGAGCAUGACUUUGGCUGGGACAGGAACACGCUUUGCCCGGGGAGGCAAUUGCAAACCCAGAAGCUAUUCCCUAAAAGUUCGCUUUCCUUCUCUUUGGGAGAAGAAGACCUAAAAGCUCUCUGUGUAGUUUCUUUCAUGAGAAGACUCAUUGAAGGCAACAUUUUCAAAGACCUCCCGCUGUGCCCUCACCACUUACCUCUGCACGCAGGGUUCCUGCACACUGGGAGUCUCUGGUAUUUUUUCCCUGAGGACCCUGUUUUCAUCAUACAGCUGAACAAUGGAAUCCAGGACCUGCCAGUAGAGGUUGGAGGUGCAUCCUGUCCAGGAGAGAAUUACAGUCAGGCAAGGCAUUCACAUUUGCUUAAGGGAAGGCUUCCUGCUAAUUUCCUGAACUCCACUGCAGGGCCUGAGGGCUGCACUGACAGGCUGAGGGGGAACAAGCUUCAUGGUCACCUGCUUCCCAGCUCCAGCACAUUCACAUCAUUCUCACACCCAGUGCUGCAAUAUGAGGAAGACUGGGCUGUGUGUGAGAUUCGAUCACACUUUUGGGGCCCAGCCCAAUGAUGCAGCAUGGUGGCCUUGGCAUGAGAGCAGUGGAAGGCGAGGGCUGAGGCAGAAGAACCCUAGGAUCCACGAGGAGCCCUAGGAGCAAGGACCAAAUGAGACACAGGAGGCACAUGAGGAUGGAAGCA
rnacentral:lncRNA from 1 species